GGGGUACAACAGCGCGCAGAGGGGGUUCAAUUCCAGCUACC
rnacentral:tRNA from 1 species